AGGAAUGUGGCCUAACUUAUUCCA
rnacentral:siRNA from 1 species